rnacentral:misc_RNA from 1 species
AGCGACCCCAUUUUCUUACAAAAUCUUUCCCAAUCCAAUUUUAUCCACUACCUAACACUGCUGCCCUGAUACAAAAUCUUCACAGAAGACAUGCACCUUUUUAAACACCCCCCGCUGAUAUACAAAAAUGUCUCCAGACCUUGACCAACUGCAAAAACAUGGGCAACAAACUGGGGUACCAACAAUAACAUGCAGGCACUCGAAUGGGAAGCCUGCUGUAUUAUUAACAAAGAAUCAAGAACAAUCAACAUCUCUGCUAUUCCUGACCUAGUCUCUCUACAUCUCGCACAUCAGAUGAUGGUUCAGGGAAAAUCUCCCUGGAUUGCCGUCUAUGCGAGGAUGAAUGUUCACCACCACCAUUUUGGCCACUUCCCUGUGAAUUUGAGGUUCCUGAAUGUUUAAAACUACUUCCUCCUUCUGGUAUAGUACUGGAGCCUGCAGGAAUCACUGCCACAUCAGAUGAGCUACGCCAACUACCAAAUAGAGCAGCAUUCCAAGAGCCUCUGGAAGAUGUUGUUCUAAGCCUUGCAGAACUGGAGUUUUCUUCCCUUACUACCUUUAAUGGAUUUUCC